CCAAGACCACGUAAAAGUGGUCUCGAGACCAAGACCGGUCUCGAGACAUCCAACUCUAGCCUUUGGAUUCAAAUGCAGAUGUCCUUAAUGCCCAAACAGCCACUUCAAUGGUGCACCGCCUUCCCACUGGAGGUUUUGAUCCACAGCAAAAGUAAACAGCUUUGAAAGUCAGUUCAAAUGGUUAGCUAAUAGUAUUUUAAAAAGCCUACUUCUCUGUCACCAGUUUCUUUACCAAAAAGUACCCAUAAAAGCAUCUCUCAAUAGCAUAUCACUCACUAUGGGAUAAUAGACCUCUCUGCAUUGAAUCGUCCCUGUUAUUAAUCUCUGUCUC